ensembl:snRNA LOC120094875 U7 small nuclear RNA
AAAUGUUAAAGCUCUUUUAGAAUUUGUUUAGCAGGUUUUCUGACUUUGGUCAGAAAAGUCCUU